UCGCUGUCGCCGGCGGGCGGGUGAGCCCAGCGUUGCCGCGGUGACCGCGGGCCUGAGCGAAGGCCGGGGACUCGCUCAAUCACUCGGCGCCGGGGACAAGGCGGCUGCACCUGCGUUGCCGACAGCCGGACCGCAGUCAUGGUGGAGGAGGUGCAGAAACAUUCGGUACACACGCUGGUAUUCAGAUCUCUAAAAAGAACUCAUGACAUGUUUGUUAGUGAUCAUGCCAAGCCUAUUUCAGCAGAUGAAAAAAGUUACAAGCUCAAGAUGAAUGUGAAGCUACAAACAGAAUACAGUCCUGUACUUCACAUGCCUA